GCCUAGCCGUAAACAAUUAAUUUACACCUAUCAGCGCCAGGGAACUACGAGCAAUGCUUAAAACCCAAAGGAUUUGACGGUGUCCCACCCAGCUAGAGGAGCCUGUUCUAUAAUCGAUGAUCCCCGCUACACCCGACCAUUUUUAGCUCAUCAGUCUGUAUACCUCCGUCGAAAGCUUACCAUGUGAACGCCCUUCAGUAGGCUCAAUGAUCUUAUGCACAUCAACACGUCAGGUCAAGGUGCAGCUUAAGAAAUGGGAAGCAAUUGGCUACAAUUUCUAAUCUAGAACAAACGAAAGGCUAUGUGAAAUCAUAGCCACGAAGGUGGAUUUAGUAGUAAAAAGAAAAUAGAGUGUUCUUUUUAACCCGGCUCUGGGACGUGUACACACCGCCCGUCACCCUCUUCGAUAGUUCAUAAUUCUGUUCCUAACCCAUUGUUACAUUUUAGAAGAGGCAAGUCGAAACACGGUAAGUGUACUGGAAAGUGCACUUGGAAAAUAA
rnacentral:rRNA from 1 species